UACGUAGGGUGCAAGCGUUAAUCGGGAAUUAGCUGGGCGUAAAGCGUGCGCAGGCGGUCUUGUAAGUCUGUCGUGAAAGCCCCGGGCUCAACCUGGGAAUUGCGAUGAGACUGCAAGGCUUGAAUCUGGCAGAGGGGGGUAGAAUUCCACGUGUAGCAGUGAAAUGCGUAGAGAUGUGGAGGAAUACCGAUGGCGAAGGCAGCCCCCUGGGCCAAUACUGACGCUCAUGCACGAAAGCGUGGGGGAGCAAACAGG
rnacentral:rRNA from 1 species